GACGAACCGAGCGAACGUUGUUCGGAAUCACUGGGCUUAAAGGGCGCGUAGGCGGUCGUGACAAGUCACUUGUGAAAUCUCCGGGCUUAACUCGGAACGGUCAAGUGAUACUGUCGGACUAGAGUACAGAAGGGGCAACUGGAAUUCUCGGUGUAGCGGUGAAAUGCGUAGAUAUCGAGAGGAACACCUGCGGCGAAGGCGGGUUGCUGGGCUGAUACUGACGCUGAUGCGCGAAAGCCAGGGGAGCGAACGGG
rnacentral:rRNA from 1 species